CAACCAGUUAUCUAGCUAGCAAGCUAUAUGAAUGAUGAACUGACAUUAGCUACUCUUGAGGGGAUCACUAUUGUAGCUAGUUAUGAAUAGCGAUAACUUGAUAAUAAUGGCAAAGUUGUUUCCAACAAAACAUUUGUCUACUUUAGCAAUGUCAUAUGUCCAUGCCCCUAUAGUGUAAUUUCCGUCUAUCACGACUUUUGGGCACCACUAUGGCGCCGCCGGCAGAGGGCGGCUUGAAAACGUUCAUCACAAUGGCAUGACGUGACCCAGUGACGGAAUUGCAAGCUAAGAAGAGCAACAUUAAACACUUAUGAAAACCACAUUUUCGUACCCUACAAAAAGAAAUUGAACUGUAUUUUAAGACUUUAAAUUUACAUUUGUGUAUAUGAAAUUUUGCCAAAAGAAUAAUGAAAUUAAUGACAUAAAACUGUUUCAGCUUAUUUCUAUUGUAUGUAAAGAAUCCAAACAGUACAUCUCUCCAUAAUAGUGUAAAAUCUUCAUAAAAGUGUUCAAUUAUAAACCUACUGAUGUCUUGCCAAAGUUUUCUUACAUGCAUACUGUAAUGAAACAGCAAGGAGCUCGACCUUCGAGUCGGAGGUCCGGCGCGCUAUCGACUGUGCGGUAAUAGCAUGCUCGAACCGUAGAGUCGAUUUCCGCGCUUAUAAACCCAGGGUCGUUACACUACUCCCUCCUUUCAAAGAGCGCGCUCGUUUGCGACUCUACGUCUUACAGGAACGCGCUCACCGGACAAGCACACGCACUGUCGUGGAUGCGAGGUCCGAUCACUUCUGACACCAGUGUAAUGGAACAGCAGGGAGCAGGUCUCGAACCGUCGACCUUCGAGCCCGAGGUCCGGCGCGCUAUCGACCGUGCCGCAAAAGAAUUCUCGAACGGUAGAGCCGAUUUCUGCGGUUAUAAACCCAGGGUCGUUACAAUACAAUGACAAAAAAUAUGCAACAAAAUGUUACAUUACAAAAGGAGCAAUUUGAGUUGUUUUCCUUAAAUUUCUUCAUAUAGUGGUUGGCAGGAUAAUAUUUGUGAAUAAUUUAAAAGGAAACUUCCUUAAUUUGGUUAACAUGUAGGUAUGUGUAGCAACAUCCAAACUUUUUUCCAACAGAUAUGAUCAAUAAAUCCAUUCCAAUAAGGCAUGACAUAAGGUAUAGAUAGAUACAACAUCCUGCUGAAACAAGGUUCGCAUCGCUCUGUUGUUGAAUGGACCAAAAGAGAAACAAAUCUUUCCUACUGAUCCUGCUGAUGAGUCAACAGGGUCAAUAGAAGGUAGGCUCUGAGGUUCAGGUUUUGACACGUUCCUGAAUAACAUAACAACACCUGAGGGAAUGGCAUCUAAAACAAUUUCAAAAUCUUUAGGUGUUACAGGGACCUUGUAAAGUGAUAAGAUAGCAACAUUUGUCUAUUUUGCCUAGCUCUCAAACUGUCUGUCUGUAGGAGUUCCUACUGGAGGAGUGGUUGCAGUGUUGCCAACUAAUUUUCAGGGUAAGUUGCUAGAGGCAGGUUGAAUUGUUGCUAAAAGUUGCUAAAUGACAUUGUGAUGUCUUUGCGUGAAAACGUAAAUUUGCGUCAUUACGUAGAAUCCACAAUAACGUUACUCAAAUUGACUGGCCAUUUCGGCAAAAAAUGUGAUUUGACAUUUGUUCAGGUACAGACUCCCCCACCCACUCUUUUCUGUACAUUUUUGAUUGAGGCAUGUUGAUUUAUGUAAGUUCUGUUCAAGAUCAAACAUCCGUGACCAACUAUAUUAAUAAUUGGGUUUGGCUCGUAGAAACCCGUACUACUGCUGCAGUCAGGCAACAAUGACUUGCAAUUUGCUACUGGCCUGCUGCUGCCUGUGCACGAGCUAAGCGCCUGCUGCUGACGUCAAUCACAACGCACUUUUGCACACAGGCAUGUGUGUUGUGACUGAGUGUUUGACAGAGAAGAUCGUUUUGUGUCAUUUAGAGGAGAGCUGAGCACCUAUCAGAUCCUCUGCUGUCCUUCACCCCUUGGUGCAGUCUGCUGACCAUCGCUGGGGCCAGGAAAAAGUCUGUCAACCAAAGUAGAAGCCAAGUGUAUCACCAUGCAACACUCUACCGAGGUUCCGGGUGAUCUCCCAUCUUCUUCAUAGUGGCCUCAGCUGGACUCCACUGGUCAGCUGGAAACCCACCGCAUAACCUCUAGCCAGGUGAAUCAAGAGCUUCACCAGAGAUGGAAGAGGAAGCGAGACAUCCUGGCCUUCCUACGUCACCGCCUUAUCUGCUUGUUGCCCUAGCACAGUGUUUCCCUACUCCAGUCCUCCAUCAGUAUACAUUUUUAUUGUAGCCCCAGACAAGCACAUCUGACUCAACUUGUAAACUAAUCAUCAAGCCCUUGAGUUGAAUGAGGUGUGUUUGUCUGGGGGCUACAAUGAAAAUGUGUGCGGUUAGGGGUACUUGAAGACCGGAGUUGGUAAACAACGAGGGAGUUCUAUUAACCUGAGCCGCGGUGCACUGGUCUAUGACCCAUAGCGUGAAAGGGACAAAUCUGUGAGGGAGGAGUGCCCUUCUCAAAUCUAACUGUAAUUUGUGCCACUCUGUCAUGUUGUCGACAAGGCAGCAUGGUGCAUCUUUCAGAAACAUUUUUCCCUUAAAAUAUGUUAGAAUUUUCAAACUAGUUGUUUUCAUUGUGAUUGCAGAUAAUGCGUUUUUAUCAAAAGCAAUCACUUUCACAUGUGAAAACACAGACCUACUCAUUACUCCAUGUGCUUAGUCUAGCCUACAGUAGGCAAUCUGUUUUAACCCGCUGCAAACUGCUCCCAGUGGGGCAACCCAGGCCAGUAAUCGAAUCCCUGCUCACAUUUUAAGCCCUAACAGAGGUGCUCGACCCUAAACACAUGUGGACUGACUACAGGUUAUAAAGAGGCAGAGGGCAUGAACUGCAAAGUGAAAGACAGACCAUAGUUAAAGGGAUACUUUGGGAUUUUGGCAAUGUGGCCCUUUAUCUACUUCCCCAGAGUCAGAUGAACUCAGCUGUCAUAGAUGUUCAAAUAAUCCAUAAUGUAAAAAUAAGGGAAUUUUAUAUUAUUUAACAUAUCAUUCAUUU